AAAUUUUUGAAAAGUAAUGUUUUUAAUACAGGAAAAGGAAACUGCAUGCAGAAUUAGUGAAGAGCAUUGACAACUACAGUGUUGGUAUUGCAACAGCUAAGCAAUACAUAGAAGAGAAGAAAAAAUGCUUGAUUGGUGCCAUUAGGAUUGCAAAGGAGCUAAAAAUUACACCUUCUGUAAGAACCUAUUGUGAUCUGACUCAGGUUAUUCGUGAUUUGACAUUUCCAGUUGAUACUGAGCUCUCAAGAGUGAAGAGUUUGAAGGAAAAAACAGUUCCAAGAUUGUUCCUGAACACGGAUGAGAUUAUGUCAUUAUUACAAAAUAUGGGGAAGAUUGAAUGGGAAACAUCAGUAUACGAAGAUGAUGGACAGCGUGCUCUUGCCUUUGGUGACAGAGAAAAAAUACCAUGCUCUGAUAACCAGUUACCCGUAGACAAUAUGUUUCCAGUACAUAAAAGAGAAAGUAAAGAAAAGGCUCUGGCUGAUAAACUUGGUAUUUGUGAAGGAGUGAAAAAGGUUAAAGAAUCACUUCCUGGGGUACCUCAUCAGAAUAUUCGUGCUGUAUCCAAGUCUCCAUCCAGCCCUGACGUAAUAAUAGAAGAAAUAUAU